rnacentral:rRNA from 1 species
UGGGGAAUAUUGCACAAUGGGCGCAAGCCUGAUGCAGCCAUGCCGCGUGUGUGAAGAAGGCCUUCGGGUUGUAAAGCACUUUCAGCGGGGAGGAAGGCGAUAAGGUUAAUAACCUUGUCGAUUGACGUUACCCGCAGAAGAAGCACCGGCUAACUCCGUGUCAGCAGCCGCGGUAAUACGGAGGGUGCAAGCGUUAAUCGGAAUUACUGGGCGUAAAGCGCACGCAGGCGGUCUGUCAAGUCGGAUGUGAAAUCCCCGGGCUUAACCUGGGAACUGCAUUCGAAACUGGCAGGCUAGAGUCUUGUAGAGGGGGGUAGAAUUCCAGGUGUAGCGGUGAAAUGCGUAGAGAUCUGGAGGAAUACCGGUGGCGAAGGCGGCCCCCUGGACAAAGACUGACGCUCAGGUGCGAAAGCGUGGGGAGCAAACAGG